CUUCCAUUUCCAUUUUCCAGAGGGGUACCUGGAAGAGAAACAUAGAAUCCAUCAUCUCAUAAACAACCAGAUUUCCCAAGCUUCCUCACACUUAUCUGGAAGAGUUUUUGAACCAACUUAUGCAAUUUUAGCUUCAGGCAAUGAUGUCGACGUCACAACCUCUGAGGAUGGCUGCCAUAGAUGUGGGUGAAACGUCAGGAGAGAAUGCUUCUGGAACAGGGCGAUACAGCCUGGAAAACUCGCAGCAACCCAGUGAUUCUGGUCAUGAAAGCCUUCGACAACACGAUGUCUACCUAGUUUGGGCACAGAUGUGGAUAGGCUGAUGAUACAUCUUCUACAGAACAUACAGUCAUCUCCUGUAUGGUGUCAGCCUCUCAUUUCUUGCUUACUUCCACUGUUAAGCUAGUGAAGAUUCAAAGGGAUUAUACAGCAAAAAGUCACUUUCGGUUGAAGAAAUUGCUGCAGUUUCCCCUAGCUUGUGUAUUUAUCAUUAAUAUUGUUACUAGAGAAUUACACAUUUAAAAACACAGUAAGAAAAUAAAUUCAAGUAACACAGUUAGUUGCAGCAAAGUUACAUGCCAAAAGCAAUAUGAUGAAUGAGUGACUGUAAAACUUUUCCCUCUGUAGUAUAAUGAGAGUAAUGUUUUUUAGUUGCUUUUAAAGGACAUUUUUAGAGUAUUAGGGUAGAUUUUUUUUUCAGUCCUUGUUGGUUCUUUUGGAAAUCUCAGUGGCUUUUGAUACAUUCAACCAUGUUAUCCUACUGGGAUGGCUCCCCGGAAUGGUUCUUGGUGCACUGCUCUGCAGUGGCCCCACUCCUUCCUGGAGAAUUGUACCCAGUUGGUGAAGCUGGAGAAACCUGCUUGGACCCUUAGUCCUUGACCUGUGGUGUCCCACAAUGUUCCAUUCUAUCUCCCAUGCUCUUUAAGAUCUACAUAAACUGCUGGGCGAGGCCAUCCGCAGUUCUGGAGUUCGGUGCCAUCUCUAUGCAGAUGACGCUCAACUCUAUUACUGAUUUCCACCAAAUUCCAAGGAAGCCCCCCAGAUCCUGGACCAGUGCCUGGCUGCUGUGAAGGACUGAAUGAGGGCUAACAAGCUGAAGCUUAAUCCAGAUAGGACAGAGGUCUUUCUGGUCAGUCGUGGGGCCGAUCGGGGUAUAGGGUGGCUACCUGUGCUCAAUGGGGUUACACUCCCCCUGAAGACACAGGUCCGCAGUCUGGGAGCCCUCCUGGAUUCAGCAUCGAUGCUUGAUACUCAGGUGUCAGCAGUGGCCGCAAGGACCUUUGCACAGUUAAAACUUGUGCACCAGCUGUGACCGUACCUUGAGAGGUCUGACUUGGCCACAGUGGUCCAUGCCUUGGUUACAUCUAGAUUGGAUUACUGCAACGCACUCUACAUGGGCUGUCUUUGAAGAUGGCCCGGAAACUGCAACUGGCUCAAAGGUCGGCAGCCAGGCUGUUAACUGGAGCUAGUUACAGGGAGCGUACGACACCUCUACUGAAGCAACUCCACUGGCUGCCAAUAAGUUUCCGGUCCCAAUUCAAAGUGCAGGUUAUUACCUAUCAAGCCCUAAACGGUUUGGAUUCUGCUUAUCUUCGUGACCAUAUCUCUCUAUACGAACCAGCACAAGCUCUAAGAUCUGCCAGGGAGGCCCUUCUCUCACUCCCACCUCUGUCACAAGCACGGUUGAUGGGGAUGAGGGAGAUUAGAUUAGCCCCCACCCUGUCCACUUUCCAUAAAGACUUAAAAACUCGUCUGUUCUAAUGGGCCUUUGAAUAACAGUUUAGCUCAUGAUCAUGCCCAGCUCUAAUUUAAUGUUUUUUCCAGAACUUUAUUUUCAGUCCCUGCCCUAUUACUCUGCAUUUUGCAAAAGCCUUGCCCUUCCCUCAUAUCUGAACAUACCCACUUUUCCAGCACUGCUUUGAUGUUUUUAUGAUGUUUUUACUUUUGGGUUUUUAAUUGUUUUAAUUAUAUUAUUUAUUUGUUAUAUAUUUUAAUUAUGUAACUUUGUAUUCCUUGUUUUAUGCUGGGCUUGGUCCCCAUGUAAGCUGCCCCGAGUCCCUUCUAGGAGAUGGUGGUGGGUUAUAAGAAUAAGAUUAUUAUUAUAUUAUUAUAGGUUGAUUACAUCACAAAAAAUGUAGAGUUUGUAAUAUUAAUAAAUUGCUUCGUAAAAGUACCCACUUCACCUAUAGCAAUAUGUUCAAAUGGUAGAGGGACAAUUUGAUAAUUUCGUCAUAUUUUUGCCACAGAGAAUAGGACAAGCACUCAAUGGCUUUAAGAGAUAACUAUAAUCAACGUUAAGUAAUCUUAACUAUGCACCCUGAGAAUGCAUGCACCUUUAUGUGUCCUUGCAUAAAUUUAAGGCACAGAAGGUGUAAUCAAGUCAGCUAGAUAAUAUGUGCUCAUAGGUUUCACAAAGAAACAACAAACAAACCGACUGAUAAACUCACAAAUGUUUAUACUUCGCUUUAUUUCAAAUGCCAUUAAGUAAUGGUUUUCCACAUAGAGUGCACUCUUCCUGGAUGGAGUGCUUGUGUGAACUAAUGGAAAAAAACAUGAACAAAUCCCUAUGCACCCUGAACAUAUCUUGUUUGUAGUGCAAAAAAAGGAAAGAAAGAAAGAACAAUACAAUGUUUAAAAUGAAGAACAAUUUUAGAACAUCCAGACCAUCCCCCUUCUGACAUGCAGGGGAAUCACAAUCAAAGCAUACCCAACAGAUAGCCAUCCAGCCUUUGUAAUAAUAAUAAUAAUAAUAAUAAUAAUAAUAAUAAUAAUAAUAAUAAUAAUAAUAAUAAUAAUAAUAAUAAUAAUAAGCAGUAGUAGUAGUAGUAGUAGAAAUCCCUUCUGCCAUGCAGGAAAUGCACAAUCAAAGCACCACAUGAGUGGUGGGAAGGAAACAGGGUUUUGAAAGCAAGGAAGGUAAGAAGGAAAAGAUAUGGGUGGCAAGGAAGGUGAGGAAAAACAGCUUUUGGUGGCAAGGGAGGGGGAGGAGGGGAAAAGCAGGAAAAAGGAAAGAAAGCUUUGAGGAGGAGGAGGCAGGAAGUGCAUGGAGCCCCAAAUGCGUCACAGAGCACACUUUAAGAACCACUUAGAGCAACCCUAUGAAUUUCAUAGGAUUUUCAAAGGUGAUCAAAACCAAUCCAUGCUCCAGGAAAUAAUGCCAGAGUGCUCACUGGAGGGAAGGAUAUUAGAGGCAAAGAUGAAGUACUUUGGUCACAUUAUGAGAAGACAGGAAAGCUUGGAGAAGAGAAUGAUGCUGGGGAAAAUUAAAAGAAAAAGGAAGAGGGGCAGAUCAAGGGCAAGAUGGAUGGAUGGUAUCCUUGAAGUAGCUGGCUUGACCCUGAAGGAGCUGGGGGUGGUGAGGGCCGACAGGAAGCUCUGGCAUGGGCUAGUCCAUGAGGUCACAAAGAGUCAGAAGCGACUGAAUGAAUAAACAACAACACUCAAAGGUGAUUUUGCCAGGUCUUUCCUCUUAAAUACAGCUUACAGCAACCUGGCAUUUGUUGGGGGGUCUUCCAUCCAGAUGCCAACCAGGAUAUUACCUCUGCUUAGUUUCCAUGCCUGAUUAGUUUCCAUGAUCAGGCAGGACUUGGUACCUUUGGGGUAUUUAGGCCUUACACUACGAACAAAGUAAACUCGGUAUAUGAAUGGCUCACUAGAUUCUGCUGGAUUGUAAGUGCCCUCAACCCUAGGUAAUAUUGCUAGCAGUAGAUCUUUUGCACUGCAACAUAUACAGAGAUAAAUAUUACUCAUUUUGUUAAAAUAGUAGUAUAAAAAGGGGUCCCAGGUUUAAUCUGGACAGUCCACAUCGUUCAAAAAUUAGAGAAUUAGAUAUGCUGGCAGAUUUCCGGAUGGUUAGCUGUCUAUUGGCAAAGAUAUUGCCUCCAUUUGGGCACACUGCUUAGUCCAACAGCAGUAAAAUGAAUCCAGCCCCUAAAUUAAAAUGCUGAAAGGAAGUGAGCCUGGAAUGGCCAUUUGUAUGGAGAGAUUUGUAUGUGUAUUCAAUCAUUUCUGGUAUUCCAAACAAAUUCUUCAUUUUGGAAUUAUUUCAUUCUAAAUAGAUGCCUUUGGUUGCAGAGCCCAGAUCGUAAGAAAAAUAAAAGAAAUGGGUAGGUUCUGAAACCUGACACCCUCUUGGAGCCCCACAAUAAUGAGUUAACUGGGUCAGUGGUCUGACUUGGUAAAUCCUGGCUUCCCAUGGCAUUGACCAUUAGAGUCAAAAAGUUAAGAAUAGCAACUCUGGUAGCACUUCCCCAGGCUGCAAACUACUAUGUGUUUUCUGAGCUCACAGAGAUUUACUUCCUUUUCUGUUUUUGGCUAAGUGCUCCUCUUCCUUCCUGGUUGUCAAGAAUCCUAUUGCUUGGACAGCUGCUGCAACAGCAUGACAUGUCAGUUCAGACAGGAUGCCAAAUUCUGUUAUUACUUUUUAAGCAUUCCGUAAUCUUUCUGGACCUUGACUUAAUUUCUCUCCUGCAGGGAAAUGAUACCAAGGUCAGAGUAUGCCAAGAUUGGUCUUACUGUGGAUGGCCUUACAAUGAAGCAAUGUGAAGCAAAUGCCAAGGAGGGCAUCCUUUCCUUGAGUCUAAUCUCUGUUUUGGAGCAUCAUUUAAAAAACAGAACUUAAGUCCAUAUUAUGGAGUCCCUAGGUUCUCCUUAAACCUAUCUUGAUUCCAGAUCAUCUUAACCAUAAUUUCCGACCUGUAUAACAUGUAAUUAUGCAGCCUAUUCCAACCCAUGCGUCUGAUCUACCAUUUUUGCAUAUCACAGAAUCAUACAAUUGGAGACCUUCUUCCACAGAUAUAUAAAUGGCUGCCAGGCUUAUUUUGGCAUGUAAACAGAUACUGUCUGGAAAAGCCUGAGUUAAUAUCCCAUUUCAAUUUUUUAAAAAUUACUUUACAAGAUCAGCAAAAUAGCACUAAAGUAAUAGCCCAUUAAUAAUUUAGGCUUUUAUGAUGCUCUCAAAAAUGUUCAGUUCUAUGUCUGCAGGCCACAAGUUCUUGACCUUUGUAGCUUUAAGAUGUACUUCCAAUAAGCUCAUUCUGCAUAGUAUCAGGGGGAAAUCAGGUGAUCUGCUAAGUGAAAGGCUGAGAUUUCCAGGACUUGCCACAACCAAUACUUCCUUUGUAUCUCAGAAGGAAAUGCCCGGGUUUCUUAUUGCAUGCUUUUCAAGCUAUAUUUCAGUUUCAUAUGCCUGGAUGCAACCCUUGUUGAUUAUAUGGCUCACUGUGAUGGUACUGUUACUUGUGAAGUUAAACCACCACUUCUUACACUGUGGGUCUCACCCAAGUGGGGUCCCCUUAGUUCAAUGUGGAGGUAAUGAAAUAUUUGGCAACAAAAAGUUUCUGAAUGCUGUUCAUUUACAUAAAUCUGUUAGUAACAAUGUGCAGUGUUUACAGUGGACUGUGAAGGAAAAUGCUUCAGUUGUAUUCCACAAAAAGGAAAAUUAGCCUGUUUAGCAAGCCUCACAAAUGUGGCUGAUUUAUUAUCAGUAAAUAUUUGGUUUCUAUACCUAUUUUAUAUACUUAUAUAUCUGGGUUUAUGAAAAAAUUAUCAGAUGGAAAGAGGUUGCAAGUGGGUAAAAGUUUAAGAAACGUUGCUAUAAUUGAGUCUCAUUUUUUAAACUUUACAAGUUUUCUAUUUCAUUUUCAGUUUCAUAACAUAAAGGAAAGGGGGGGGGGAAGGAUGGAGGUAAAGAAAAAUAUGCUAUGUAGGUUACGGAGUUUUGUUAGACCAGUCUCAUUUGAUUGUAUAGUCUUGCAUGGUAAGGGGUUGGACUGGAUGGCCCUUGUAGUCAGAUUGUGUGAUUCUAUGAUUGUCUUGUUUCAAAGCUUGGCUUGAGUCCAUGCAAUUUCACAAAAUUUCACAGAGACAGAGAGCAUGGAAAUGCAGAGCAAGUGUAGGAGAAAUGUGGGUGAGAAAGGGGAAUGGCAGAGUCACUUGAGGGAAGAGAUUGUACAUGGACAUCUUACAGAAGCAGCUAUACUCAAACAAACCUACAUGACUGAAAUAUGAUUGUUCCAAACUCCAGUGGGAUGGCAUCUGUUUAAUGGCAUUACUCCACCAUGAUCUACAGUAGCUGUCACUGCAGCAUAAAGAUGAACAGGUUCAAAAAGCCAGUGUUUUUAAAUUGACCACACUGUCUCCAGCUAAGUACCAGUUAAGUGCAAAUGAUUAAUGAUCUGAAAGACAGGUAUUACAUCCUCCACGGUUAAGGUGACCGGACUGACCUGCUUUGACAACAGUCAACCCUGUAAUACAGCAUUUAGGAAAGAGAGCAAGUCAAGCCUCCACAUUACAUAAGGACUUGUGAAAGAAAGAAAAGAAAAAUGAAAGGUGAAUGCUGAAUGACAUGUUCUCAGAUCUAACAAGGCCAAACAUAUCAUCAUCACCAUCACCACCUCCUUUAUUUAUACCCUGCAUUUCUCACAGUGUGGAACUUAUGUCAGCUUACAAAUUAGAAUAUGUUCCAGCAACAUGAUUGCAUAAAACAAUGUAGUAAAACUUGAUUUGGAAAAUACUGGAAUUCUACUCUACCGAUCCUACUGGAGCAGUGUAUGCCUGCCUACAAGAGGCAAGGUAAACAGCAGCAGCCUCCAGAAUCCCCUACUGUGCAUGUAUGAAUAUAAAAAAGAGAAAAGAAGGGAGAACAAAUAAACCUGCAUCACCAGCUGUUAAAAAGGCAUCAGUUUAUAAGUCCAGCCAACAAAAUGGAAAUCAUAAGCAAAAUGGAAGCUGUUUCUUAAAAUAAAAUUAAAAAAUUACAUUUUAA